GUGAAGUUGAUCACAAGCAAACAUAUACCCCUUUGUUUGACCGUGAAAAAUUUCUCCCAUCCCCUUUGUUCGUAUUUGAAAAGCCGAUGUUGGCGACAACAUCGGCUUUUC
rnacentral:sRNA from 3 species